CCUUCAUCUUGCAACUUCUACGAUGACCAAGGGAACUUCAAGUUUUGGUAAACGUCACACUAAGAGUCACGUACUUUGCCUAAGAUGCAAUUCUCGAUCUUUUCACACCCAAAAGCAUCGUUGCGCUUCUUGUGGAUAUCCUUCUGCUAAGCUACGCAAAUAUAACUGGAGUGCGAAGGCUAAAAGAAGGAGAACUACUGGUACUGGAAGAAUGCGGUAUUUAAAAAAAGUACAUCGAAGAGCGAAAAACGGCUUUCGCGAAGCGGCAAAAGUAAAACCAGUAAAAGCUUAAGAGUUUAAAUUCGUUUGCAUAAACUUUUUUGAAUUUAAUAAAUUAU